rnacentral:lncRNA from 1 species
UUGAACCCACGCUAGCAAGGUCCACAAGAGCGCUCAAAAUGAAAUAUCAGAAAGCGCAUCGCCGGGAUUCAAACACGCGCUCACAAGGAAAGAUGGAAUUCCAAAAUAAAUUAACAAUCACACACACAUAGGGAUCGAACGCGCGCCAUAAAGGACUAGAAGCGCUUGGCAAAACACAGCGCAUCACUUAUGAAGUGGCAAGCCACGCAGCAGUCUUCACACACGCAAGCGAAGUCAAACAAAC